rnacentral:rRNA from 1 species
UACGUAGGGUGCGAGCGUUGUCCGGAAUUACUGGGCGUAAAGAGCUCGUAGGUGGUUUGUCGCGUUGUUCGUGAAAUCUCACGGCUUAACUGUGAGCGUGCGGGCGAUACGGGCAGACUAGAGUACUGGAGGGGAGACUGGAAUUCCUGGUGUAGCGGUGGAAUGCGCAGAUAUCAGGAGGAACACCGGUGGCGAAGGCGGGUCUCUGGGCAGUAACUGACGCUGAGGAGCGAAAGCGUGGGGAGCGAACAGG